rnacentral:rRNA from 1 species
AACGUAGGACACGAGCGUUAUCCGGAGUUACUGGGCGUAAAGGGCGAGUAGGUGGUGCGAUAAGACUGGUGUGAAAGCCUUCGGCUUAACCGAGGGAGGACACUGGUGACUGUCGGACUUGAGGCAGAUAGAGGGGUGUAGAAUUCCGGGUGUAGUGGUGAAAUGCGUAGAGAUCCGGAGGAAUACCAGAGGCGAAGGCGGCACCCUGGGUCUGACCUGACACUCAUGAGCGAAAGCGUGGGGAGCGAUCCGG